rnacentral:rRNA from 1 species
UCUGGUUGAUCCUGCCAGUAGUCAUAUACUUGUCUUAAAGAUUAAGCCAUGCAUGUAUCAGUUAUUUCAUUAGAAGACAUAAGAUUGCGAAUGGUUUAGUAUAACAGUUACGAUAUAUUUGAAUGAUUUUUUCUGUGGAUAACUGCGGCAAUUCCUCAGCUAAUACAUGAUGCAAUAUAUAUUCAUAUAUGUUGUCUAUAUCGCUAUUAUUUUUUAUUAAAUUAAAAUGUAGAUUCAUUAUUGAUGAUUCUUAGUUAUAUUUGCUUACAGAUUGCUACACGAGUGGCAAUUCAUUUAAGUUUUUGACCCAUCAGUUGAUUAGUUGUGUCUUGAUCAAUUGAGGCAUUAACGGGUAACAGAGAAUUAGAGUUCUAUUCCGGAGAGUGAGUCUGAGAAAUAGCUACCACAUCUAAGGAAGGCAGCAGGCACGAAAAUUACCCAAUUUUGAUUAAUAGAGAUAGCGACAAGAAAUCACAAUAUUAUGCCAUAUGGUUAAACAAUUGAAGUGUGAAAAAUAUAAAAAAUUGGAUAAUAAGCUAGUGGAGGGCAAGUCUGGUGCCAGCAGCCGCGGUAAUUCCAGCUCCAAUAGUUUAUGCUAACAAUGUUGCAAUUAAAAAGUUCAUAGCCGAACUUUUCAGAUAUUCAAUUUUAAGUAACCUCAAAAAAUUAUAAAGAAGUCGAUUUAUCUUGAUAUAUAUAUAUAUAUUUACUCUAUUGACAUUUAUUUUUUGAUAGCGAUAAAUGUUAGUUUAACUUUGAAAAAAUGGGAGUGCUCUAAGCAAUUAUUCGUUAUGUUUAUAAAGUAUGGAAUGAUAAGUAAUGAUGAUGGCUCGUUUUGAUUGGUUUGAGAGGUUGAUGUAAUGAUUUAUAGAGUGUUUUGGAGGUAUUAGUAUUUUGUCAUUAGAAGUGAAAUUUUUGGAUUGAGAGAAGACAAACAACAGCAAAAGCAGUUGCUUAGGAUAUAUUCCUUGGUCAAGAACGUAAGUUGUGGGAUCAAAGAUGAUCAGAUACCGUCGUAGUCUCAACUAUAAACAAUAUCAAUUAGGGAUUAGUGAUUGUAUCUAUAAUAUUGUUAGAACCUUAAGAGAAAUCAAAGUGUAUGGAUUCCGGGGGGAGUAUGGUUGCAAGGCUGAAACUUAAAGGAAUUGACGGAAGGGCACUACAAGAUGUGUAUUUUGUGGCUUAAUUUGACUCAACACAGGAAAACUUAUCAGGUCUAGACAUAGGAAUUAUUGACAGAUUGAUAGCUCUUUCUUAAUUUUGUGGGUUGUGGUGCAUGGCCGUUUUUAGUUGGUGGAGUGAUUUGUCUGGUUAAUUCCGAUAACGAACGAGACUACUAACUAUUAAUUUGCGUGAUAAUUAGAUUAAUUUUUUGCUUCUUUGAAAAACUAGUUUUGCAUAAAAAGCUGGAAGUUGGUAGCAAUAACAGGUCUGUAAUGCCCUUAGACGUACUGAGCAGCGCACGGGCUACUAUAGGAGAAUUACUAUGUUUACUAUAUUAAUUCGAAAAGAGUCAAGAAAUCAUAAAACUAUUUUAUAGUUGGGCUUACACUUUUAAAUUUUUAUGUAUAAACCAGGAAUAUCUAGUAAGUCUAGUUCAUUAACGUUGUUUGAAUGCGUCUCUGCCUUUUGUACACACCGCCCGUCGCUCCUACCGAUCGGAUAAGCUAGUGAUUUAAUUGGAUGAAGUGGUAACUUACUUAUAUAUAACAUUGCGGUUAAGAUUUGCAAACUAGAUUAUUCAGAGGAAGGAGAAGUCGUAACAAGGUUUCCGUAGGAGAAUCUACAGAAG